rnacentral:rRNA from 1 species
AUUGAACGCUGGCGGCAUGCCUUACACAUGCAAGUCGAACGGCAGCGGACCUUCGGGUGCCGGCGAGUGGCGAACGGGUGAGUAAUGCAUCGGAACGUGCCAUUGAGUGGGGGAUAACGUAGCGAAAGUUACGCUAAUACCGCAUAUUCUGUGAGCAGGAAAGCAGGGGACCGCAAGGCUUGCGCUCUUUGAGCGGCCGAUGUCAGAUUAGCUAGUUGGUGAGGUAAAGGCUUACCAAGGCGACGAUCUGUAGCGGGUCUGAGAGGAUGAUCCGCCACACUGGAACUGAGACACGGUCCAGACUCCUACGGGAGGCAGCAGUGGGGAAUUUUGGACAAUGGGCGCAAGCCUGAUCCAGCCAUGCCGCGUGAGUGAAGAAGGCCUGGUU